GACGAACGCUGGCGGCGUGCCUAAUACAUGCAAGUCGAAGAUAGUGGCGAACGGGUGAGUAAUACGUGGGUAACCUGCCCUCCUUUUUGGGAUAAGCCUUGGCAACGGGGUCUAAUACCGAAUAAAGGGGGAUGGGCUCGCGGCCUAUCAGCUUGUUGGUGGGGUGAUGGCCUACCAAGGCGGUGACGGGUAGCCGGACUGAGAGGGUGAUCGGCAACAUUGGGACGGCGAUACGGCCCAGAGUGCUACGGGAGGGAGCAGUGGGGGAUAGGGCGAAAUGCUGGAAAGCCUGAUGCAGCGACGCGGCGUGGGGGAUGAAGGUUUUCGGGUUGUAAAAUUCUGUCGAAAGCGAACCGGUACGUGGAGAAGAAGCGCCGGCUAACUACGUGCCAGCAGCCGCGGUAAUAC
rnacentral:rRNA from 1 species